GAGAAAUAUGCACUGUGUCUAUCAGUUUCCUAUUGUUCAUAUUUAUAUUACAAAUAUUAGCAUGUCUUCCAAGUAUCUACAAAUAAGGUGCAUAACCAACCCAUUGAAAAUGAUUAAACAUUCAUUAUGGACUCAAGUUUGGAAAGAAAACAAAAAAAUUGCUGAUAAACAACUCCAUGUUUUUACAUAAAUUCCUAGCACUUCAUACUAUAGUAAAAAAAAAGGACGGGUGCGGCAACACGUGCCAGCAAUGAUCUAGUAGAAGAAAUAUAUCACAUCCAACAAGGAGUCUCACCCGUCACGCAGCAACCCACAAGUCAGUUCAGCACGCCGGCAAGGAAGAGGAGGUCUGAUGGGCAGCCACCAUGGAUGGGAGAGCCCGCGGCUGCCGUAGUGCCGUGCAGGGCAGGGCUAGAGCAAGGGAUGGUAGCAGUUAUCUCCAUUUACACAGCAGCGUGUCCUAAAAUGGGAGUGCCCCUCUCCCCCUCUUCUCUUCUUCCUCGACCUCCGACGCUCGCUCACGAGUUGGGCUUCACAGUGGCAAUGGAUCUGUUAGAAGCAUGCACGGUAAAGGAGAUUAGCAAGCACAGAAAGAAUGAGUAGGGCUCACGGAAAAAAGCAGAAGGAGGUGAGCCGACACCCGGCAGUAACGGACCUCCACCAUGAUCGAUAGGAAGGAAGAACGUGGGGCGGCGCCGCCGUGUCGUCGCUGCCUCUUCGGAUCACCCGGGUACUGGGGGGACAGCGACCUCGACCGAGCGUUAGAUGGGCUAGCCCAUGCAGAGGGGCAGUAACAGGCUCCUUGUAGCAGACCCAAUCAACGAGGUGCCUGCGUUUUUGCUACGGGAGUAGUAGCCCAGCCGAGUGUGCAGGGUUGUGCGGGAUUAGAAACCUACAUCUGACGGCCAGCAGAGUCCAUAGGCAAGAUCGAACGGCCAGAAAUCAUGAAUGCGUGAGAGGCUUCCUAGAGUGCACAGUUAUAAUGUCUUUAAAUGCAAAGGCAUGAGAUUGAGUACAUGAGUGUUGUUUGCAGAUAUUGUUAAAGUUUGACUGCUCAAAUAUAUGAAUCUUUUGUACGGUGGAAGUUGCAUGUGUUGAAUUAUUGGCGUCUUCUUAUAUUUUUAUCAAUAUUGCAAUAUAGAAAAAAGUACUUGCCUAGUCAUACAUGAUUGAGAAGAACGGACGAAUACAGAAAACAUAGUCAUGUAUUGUAUGCCCCCAUACCUUACAUGAUUGACGAUCUGGCCAUCGACUGGUGCUAGAAGAUCUCCCACUCUUAGAGCCUGCCAAGGCUCUGCUUGUGGCUCUCAAAGACCUCAAAUAGCUCUGGCUGGUAUUCGCCACCUUGCUCAUCGUUGCCGAAGUCAACGACAUCGUCUCUCGAAGCAUGUGGUUCAAGCGUGUCAAUUUACAACAUCC
rnacentral:lncRNA from 1 species